rnacentral:rRNA from 1 species
UUAAGUGAAUAAGGGCGCACGGUGGAUGCCUUGGCACUAGGAGCCGAUGAAGGACGGGACUAACACCGAUAUGCUUUGGGGAGCUGUAAGUAAGCUAUGAUCCAGAGAUUUCCGAAUGGGGGAACCCAAUAUCUUUUAUAGGAUAUUACUUUUCAGUGAAUACAUAGCUGAUUAGAGGUAGACGCAGAGAACUGAAACAUCUUAGUACCUGCAGGAAGAGAAAGAAAAUUCGAUUCCCUGAGUAGCGGCGAGCGAAACGGGAAGAGCCCAAACCAACAAGCUUGCUUGUUGGGGUUGUAGGACUCCAAUAUGGUAGUCUGUUAGUAUAGUUGAAGGAUUUGGAAAAUUCCGCUAAAGAGGGUGAAAGCCCCGUAGACGAAAUGCUGACAACACCUAGGAGGAUCCUGAGUACGGCGGAACACGAGAAAUUCCGUCGGAAUCCGCGGGGACCAUCCCGCAAGGCUAAAUACUCCCUAGUGACCGAUAGUGAACCAGUACCGUGAGGGAAAGGUGAAAAGCACCCCGGAAGGGGAGUGAAAUAGAUCCUGAAACCGUGUGCCUACAACAAGUCAAAGCUCGUUAAUGAGUGAUGGCGUGCCUUUUGUAGAAUGAACCGGCGAGUUACGAUUGCAUGCGAGGUUAAGUCGAAGAGACGGAGCCGCAGCGAAAGCGAGUCUGAAUAGGGCGAAUGAGUAUGUAGUCGUAGACCCGAAACCAUGUGAUCUACCCAUGUCCAGGUUGAAGGUGCGGUAAAACGCACUGGAGGACCGAACCCACGUACGUUGAAAAGUGCGGGGAUGAGGUGUGGGUAGCGGAGAAAUUCCAAACGAACUUGGAGAUAGCUGGUUCUCUCCGAAAUAGCUUUAGGGCUAGCCUCGGAAUUGAGAAUGAUGGAGGUAGAGCACUGUUUGGACUAGGGGCCCAUCUCGGGUUACCGAAUUCAGAUAAACUCCGAAUGCCAUUCAUUUAUAUCCGGGAGUCAGACUGCGAGUGAUAAGAUCCGUAGUCGAAAGGGAAACAGCCCAGACCACCAGCUAAGGUCCCAAAAUAUAUGUUAAGUGGAAAAGGAUGUGGGGUUGCACAGACAACUAGGAUGUUGGCUUAGAAGCAGCCACCAUUUAAAGAGUGCGUAAUAGCUCACUAGUCGAGUGACCCUGCGCCGAAAAUGUACCGGGGCUAAACAUAUUACCGAAGCUGUGGACUACACCAUUAGGUGUAGUGGUAGGAGAGCGUUCUAAGGGCGUUGAAGGUCGAUCGUGAGGACGGCUGGAGCGCUUAGAAGUGAGAAUGCCGGUAUGAGUAGCGAAAGACAGGUGAGAAUCCUGUCCACCGUAUGACUAAGGUUUCCUGGGGAAGGCUCGUCCGCCCAGGGUUAGUCGGGACCUAAGCUGAGGCCGAUAGGCGUAGGCGAUGGACAACAGGUUGAUAUUCCUGUACCAGUUGUUUUUGUUUGAGCAAUGGAGGGACGCAGUAGGCUAAGGAAUGCAUGCGAUUGGAAGUGCAUGUCCAAGCAAUGAGUCUUGAGUAGAGUUAAAUGCUUUACUCUUUAAGGACAAGUUGUGACGGGGAGCGAAAUAAUAGUAGCGAAGUUCCUGAUGUCACACUGCCAAGAAAAGCUUCUAGUGAGAAAACAACUGCCCGUACCGUAAACCGACACAGGUAGUCGAGGAGAGUAUCCUAAGGUGAGCGAGCGAACUCUCGUUAAGGAACUCGGCAAAAUGACCCCGUAACUUCGGGAGAAGGGGUGCUGACUUCGGUCAGCCGCAGUGAAUAGGCCCAAGCGACUGUUUAUCAAAAACACAGGUCUCUGCAAAAUCGUAAGAUGAAGUAUAGGGGCUGACGCCUGCCCGGUGCUGGAAGGUUAAGAGGAUGGGUUAGCUUCGGCGAAGCUCAGAAUUGAAGCCCCAGUAAACGGCGGCCGUAACUAUAACGGUCCUAAGGUAGCGAAAUUCCUUGUCGGGUAAGUUCCGACCCGCACGAAAGGCGUAACGAUUUGGGCACUGUCUCAACGAGAGACUCGGUGAAAUUUUAGUACCUGUGAAGAUGCAGGUUACCCGCGACAGGACGGAAAGACCCCAUGGAGCUUUACUGUAGUUUGAUAUUGAGUGUUUGUACCACAUGUACAGGAUAGGUAGGAGCCGAUGAGACCGGAACGCUAGUUUCGGAGGAGGCGCUGGUGGGAUACUACCCUUGUGUUAUGAACCCUCUAACCCGCACCACUAAUCGUGGUGGGAGACAGUGUCAGAUGGGCAGUUUGACUGGGGCGGUCGCCUCCUAAAAGGUAACGGAGGCGCCCAAAGGUUCCCUCAGAAUGGUUGGAAAUCAUUCGAAGAGUGUAAAGGCAGAAGGGAGCUUGACUGCGAGACCUACAAGUCGAGCAGGGACGAAAGUCGGGCUUAGUGAUCCGGUGGUUCCGCAUGGAAGGGCCAUCGCUCAACGGAUAAAAGCUACCCUGGGGAUAACAGGCUUAUCUCCCCCAAGAGUCC